AUUCUCUUGCAUUCCACCCGGGGAACAAGACAGCACCGGGUUUCACACUGGCAAGGCAGGAGGCUGUGUGCUGCCAGAACGACCAGCAGGGGGCGCAAAGGCCACGCCAGGCACCUGCUGGCCUCAGAGAAAACAGAAAGGGAACCAGGAAGCCCACUCCUGCUGUCCUUUCUCUGCAAGGAAAUGUGCCAGGGCACUGCAGCCCAGACAGUCGGCAGUAGAGGACCCAUGAAGUAUCUUUGUGCAAAGAAAGCAGCAAAGAGAAUUAAGAGAAUUGCAUCAUAUAAAGAGUGAAUUAAACCAUCUAAAGGAGCAAAAAUUCAUCAUCACAUGGACAAGAAAUUAAGACGUAACAUCCAUCUCACUAUUUGCAAAGUGGCUUAUUCCUACAGACAAUGCAGAUAUGUAAAAAGCAGCUGGAAACCUAGGAGCAGAAGCCCAGCAUAAAGAUCUCUGAAAGCCUGGAUGCGUGGAUUCCUCUCUUACUUCCCAAAACGGUGGGGUGGAAAUGUGAAUAUCAGCAUGAUGCACAGAUCUCUGCAGAUGUCCAGCGAACUGAAUUUCUAGACGCUAUAAUCUAUGUUCUUUCCCAACCCCCACUUCAGUUUACAUAUCGCAGGCCAUAGAUCCUGUUUGUUGAAAAGCGAUCAGCUAGAAAACAAGAGUGGUUAUAACCUGUGCUGCCCAGUGAUCAGGAAAAGAGAGCGGAUGAAACUUCCAUGACUUUCUGUUAGUCUGAUUAAUAUCCAUGCCAAAUGUAAGAUUAGUUAAAAGGCCUUAUUGCUUCCCACCAAAAUGUUCCUUCACUAGCUAUAUACUACACUGAAAUGUAAAGUUAUGGGUAUGUUUAACAGUUUAAUUUGUCAGUGGGCAUCCAACUCUUCUAUUUGUGUUUUUACUUUGAGCUUAAUUGGAGCAGACAAAUAGAGGUGACCUCUAACUGUUUUCUUCCUGAAGCCAUUUUCAGGGCAGAAGUGCUUUACCCACUUCAUUGAGAAACCACCUUUGCAUGCAGUACCCUGAGCUGUCUUCAGCACACCAAGCAUCCACAACAUGGGAAAUACCGUGCUUUAAAUGUUGCUUUAAUCACAGUGCUCAUGAGUAAGGGCAUGUCCUGUCUCUUAUCCAUGAAAACACUCCCACAAAAUGAAGUCACACCCAGUAUCUGUUAACGGAGAUACUGAGUGGGUGAAGAAGACUCAUUCCCUAAUGCAAUUCAGGUCACACAGGGUAAAAAAGAAAAAAAAAUCCUUUUCUGUUGAGGAUACAGAUGGAGAGAAAAUGGAAAAUGCCUUUCAGGAAGCACAAGCCUAGUUUUCUAAUUGUGUUUCAGUGAACACGCAGGUGAACUUACCUGUGUGGCUUGGUAUUGUGGUGGGUUUUCAGCUUCUUCUCCACCAAAUCCUUUGAAAAGCAGCAGUGGCAGAAACAAAUAACCCAAUUAAAAACAAUAAUAGCAACAAUAAAAAAAGAAAAGAUG
rnacentral:lncRNA from 1 species